rnacentral:rRNA from 1 species
CCUACGGGUGGCAGCAGUGGGGAAUAUUGCACAAUGGGGGAAACCCUGAUGCAGCGACGCCGCGUGAGUGAAGAAGUAAUUCGUUAUGGUAAGCUCUAUCAGCAGGGAAGAAAAUGACGGUACCUGAGUACGAAGCCCCGGCUAACUACGUUCCAGCAGCCGCGGUACUACGGCGGGGGCAAGCGUUAUCCGGAUUUACUGGGUGUAAAGGGAGCGUAGGCGGCAGUGUAAGUCUGGAGGGAAAGGCGGGGGCUCAACCCCCGGACUUCUCUGGAAACUGUACGGCUGGAGUGUAGGAGAGGUAAGCGGAAUUCGUAGUGUAGCGGUGAAAUGCGUAGAUAUUAGGAGGAACACCAGUGGCGAAGGCGGCUUACUGGACUGUAACUGACGUUGAGGCUCGAAAGCGUGGGGAGCAAACAGGAUUAGAUACCCCUGUAGUC